AGAGGUGGAAGGUUGAUGUUGUACUGGAGGAAGGAGGAAGGUGAUGUUGUACUGUACUCCUGGAGGAGAGGUGGAAGGUUGAUGUUGUACUGUACUCCUGGAGGAGAGGUGGAAGGUUGAUGUUGUCCUGGAGGAGAGGUGGAAGGUUGAUGUUGUCAUGGAGGAGAGGAGGAAGGUUAAUGUUGUACGGAGGAGGGGAGGAAGGUUGAUGCGGUACUGUACUCCUGGAGGAGAGGUGGAAGUUGAUGUUGUCCUGGAGGAAAGGUGGAAGGUUGAUGUUGUUGUCCUGGAGGAGAGGUGGAAGGUUGAUGUUGUACUGGAGGAGAGGAGGAAGGUUGAUGUUGUACUGGAGGAGAGGAGGAAGGUUGAUGUUGUACUGUAGUCCUGGAGGAGAGGAGAAGGUUGAUGUUGUCCUGGAGGAGAGGAGGAAGGUUGAUGUUGUGUCCUGGAAGGAGAGGAGGAAGGAGGAAGGGGUUGAUGUUGUACUGUAGUCCUGGAGGAGAGGUUGAAGGUUGAUGUUGUCCUGGAGGAGAGGAGGAAGGUUGAUGUUAAACUGUAGUCCUGGUUUCUCUACUUUCUUCAGAGCUGGAGGUGAGAGGACAGGACAGAGGAGACGUAUCUAGGCUAAAGAAAGAUAGAUGAGAGCCUAAUAGGGGAAGAGGGGAUAGCGUGUUGUACUGUGGAGCCAGAGGAACAGCAGAGAGGCUUCUGGGUAGAGAGGAGACGAGGAGGAGGAGGAGGAGGAAGAGGAGGAGGAGGAGGAGCAGAGGAGGAGGGGAAGGAGCAGAAGAGGAGAGGGCAUUAUGACGAGGUCACAGAUCCGCAUCACGUAUUGGCCUAUUAUAUCAUACUACAGCUAUAGCACAGAAUGCUGGUAGAGUAAUGACUCUCUCCCUCUCUCUCCCUCCCUCUCUCUCUCUCUCUCUCUCUCUCUCUCUCUCUCUCUAUGACCUCCUCCUUCCUACUAUCCGGACAUCAAAGUCCCUGUAAUUCAUCACCUGUCCAAAACACUAGGUCAUCGCCUGUCACAACACAGAAACGUUAACAGGGCAGAACAAGACAAUGAAGGAUAGAGAGAGAGAAUGAUUGAUGGAGAGAUAAUGAAGGUCUGUUAGCAUUGUGACUGUUAGGAUUCUGGCUGCAGAGUGUGUGUGUGGUAUUUAUUAGCUCCAGCCCAUUGUGAGGGGCUGUUAGCAGGCCUGUCACCACACCAGGAGACCAGGUGACAAGUAGAGUAGGUGACAAAGAUCUUAGUCUCUCCUAACAGCUGUCUGUCAAAGGGCUCUAUCACUGGUAACAGAGUCCACUGGUGUGUCUGCUGGUACAAAGAGCUCUAUGACUGGUAACAGAGUCUACUGGUACAAAGAGCUCUAUCACUGGUAACAGAGUCCACUGGUACAAAGAGCUCUAUGACUGGUAACAGAGUCUACUGGUACAAAGAGCUCUAUGACUGGUAACAGAGUCUACUGGUACAAAGAGCUCUAUGACUGGUAACAGAGUCNUGACUGGUAACAGAGUCUACUGGUACAAAGAGCUCUAACAGAGUCUACUGGUACAAAGAGCUCUAUGACUGGUAACAGAGUCUACUGGUACAAAGAGCUCUAUGACUGGUAACAGAGUCUACUGGUACAAAGGGCUCUAUGACUGGUA
rnacentral:lncRNA from 1 species